rnacentral:rRNA from 1 species
CGCGUAGGCGGCCAGAUAAGUCCGGUGUGAAAGUCAAAGGCUCAACCUUUGAAUGCCGCUGGAAACUGUCUGGCUAGAGUCCGGGAGGGGCGAGUGGAAUUCCUGGUGUAGCGGUGAAAUGCGCAGAUAUCAGGAGGAACACCAAUGGCGAAGGCAGCUCGCUGGAACGGUACUGACGCUGAGGCGCGAAAGCGUGGGGAGCGAACA